rnacentral:rRNA from 1 species
UACGAAGGGAGCGAGCGUUGUUCGGAAUCACUGGGCUUAAAGCGUGCGUAGGCGGAUAAGAAAGUCAGGAGUGAAAUCCCGGGGCUUAACCUCGGAACUGCUUUUGAAACUUCUUAUCUAGAAUUCGGUAGAGGUCGAUGGAAUAUCCAGUGUAGAGGUGAAAUUCGCAGAUAUUGGAUAGAACACCAGUGGCGAAGGCGAUCGACUGGGCCGAUAUUGACGCUGAGGUACGAAAGCGUGGGUAGCAAAC